AAGCGGUGGAGCUACGUGGUUUAAUUCGAUAGCAAACCGAAGAACCUUACCUGGUUUGACAUGUGCGUGUUACUGAGGUGAAAGCCGAGGGACCAUAUCUUCGGAUGUGGAGCGUACACAGGUGCUGCAUGGCUGUCGUCAGCUCGUGUCGUGAGAUGUUCGGUUAAGUCCGCUAACGAGCGCAACCCUCGCUGUGUGUUACAAGUGUCACACGGUACUGCCGAUAUUAAGUCGGAGGAAGGUGGGGAUGACGUCAAGUCAGCAUGACCUUUAUAUCCAGGGCUACACACACGCUACAAUGGCCAGUACAAUGGGUUGCCAAGCCGCGAGGCGGAGCCAAUCCUAAAAAGCUGGCCUCAGUUCAGAUUGCAGUCUGCAACUCGACUGCAUGAAGUUGGAGUUGCUAGUAACCGCAGGUCAGCAAUACUGCGGUGAAUACGUUCCCGGGUCUU
rnacentral:rRNA from 1 species